AGAACUCUACUGGGAGCUGAAAUUUCGAUCUGUCCAGACGGUCUGAUUUUACUCUGAGGAUUAGUACUGACGUUUAUUUUCCCUUGAAAGUGGGAUGGGGCUGUACAUGGAACUGCAAGGCCAAAGACAGGUCACCUCUUCCCAGAACCAGAUGGAAAUCCUUGGUGAGAGUGCUGUUCUGGCAGACUCCACCAGCCUUGCCUCUGGAGGAAGGCUUCCCUGCCUGACUUACACAAGUGAGAACUGCCCCCGUUUUCUCUACUGGACAGUGGACAGCCUGGAGCCCUGAGGCUGAAGUGGGACCCGUGACUCCUCGUGCUGCCUGCCUUCCCUGUGAUCAGUGCCUUUCUGACUCAGUGCAGGUUACUUCAGCCUGGCCUAGUUCACAACAGUCCUGGAAGUGGACCGCUCAGUGCAGUGUGGGAGGGGCAGAGGAACCAGCUCAGCUACAGCUGGGAGAUCUUCAGGUACAGAGAUGCCUGACCACGUACAAGCAAGUCAAGACUCAAGUUCCAGGCUCUAGAAGUAGUAGAGCAGCCCGGGCCAGGAGGCCAGUGGGGCCGUCAUCAGGACUGUGGGGCAAGUGGUGAUGAGAAACUGCAUCUAAGACUGUUGGCCUGAAGCCUCUUCCUUCAGUCCCUCCUGUUAGGACCUAGGUAGACCCAUCUUAAAUGCCACCUUCCAUAAGGCCAUUUCCACCUUUGCAAACCUUACCUAUUUUCUUCCCUGUGCAAGGAGCCCCACUAGGGGUGAUACUCCUGUCCCCUCUCUCCCCUUUUAUUUGCUUUGCCUCAGGGAACAUACAAGAUGACCAUUCUGGUCAUGCAUAGGCCAGCUCCACCCAUCCUUCCUCUUGGGAGUGAGCUGCCUGCAGGGUACAGUAUCCCACGGCUCUUGCUGAGGUGGGCUCAACCUGUCCGAGGUCAAGGGUCCGGGGAGGCUCUCCCUGGUCUAGCACAACUGGAUGGGUUAGUCGGCCUCAUUAAGGGAUUUAUGUCAGCAGUCUACUUAGCUAACAGACCUGAGCUGUCCUCCAGCCCAGCCUCUCUGCCAAUAAUGAAGGGGAUGUUUUGGCCUCUGUCGGCCCCUCCUUUAUUUCUCAGACCCUCAAAAAGACCUUAGAACAGCUUUCCUGUCCCCUUCAGUCUUGCCCAUCUUGUAAUUCCCAUUGCAUUUUUUUGGAGUGUCUCUAGAAUGACCUUUCAUUAUUUGGGUAACUACCUUAUUUCCUUCCCUCACCAGCUGAGAUCUAAGAGAGGCACUCCGGAGAUCAGCUGGGUAGACAAAUACAAAUGAAAAGAAUAACUUCAGGAGACAGACUUGGGAACAAUGACGAGGUCACGUCACGAGUGUGCUAAUGGGGCUCCAGAUAAGACUCUGUCAGGAGCAGCAACGGGGGCAGCGUGACUCUGCGGGGGAAGGGAAGGCUCAGAACAUGGGGCGGCCCCACAGGCCCGGCGUCCUCUCCAAUUCUGGGCGACACUGUGUCUCAGCUGCUCAGCCUCUGUUCCCCCUUCCUUUAGUAAAAAUACUUUUAUUUCCUU